rnacentral:sRNA from 1 species
GGGCCUGUGGAAAUGGCAGUGGCCCAGCCGGGAUGAGAUCUGAUCUAGGGGUCGGGGCUGGCUUCGAGGGGGACGGACAGGGUCAAGAGCCCCCAACUCCCAUCGCGCCCCCACAGCUGCUGCGUGCUGGCCCCACCUACCUCAUCAUCCAGCUAAACACCAACUCCAUCAUUGGCGACGGGCCGAUCGUGCGCAAGGAGAUUGAGUACCGCAUGGCGCGCGGGCCCUGGGCUGAGGUGCACGCCGUCAGCCUGCAGACCUACAAGCUGUGGCACCUCGACCCCGACACAGAGUAUGAGAUCAGCGUGCUGCUCACGCGUCCCGGAGACGGCGGCACUGGCCGCCCUGGGCCACCCCUCAUCAGCCGCACCAAAUGCGCAGAGCCCAUGAGGGCCCCCAAAGGCCUGGCUUUUGCUGAGAUCCAGGCCCGCCAGCUGACCCUGCAGUGGGAACCACUGGGCUACAACGUGACGCGUUGCCACACCUAUACUGUGUCGCUGUGCUAUCACUACACCCUGGGCAGCAGCCACAAUCAGACCAUCCGAGAGUGUGUGAAGACAGAGCAAGGUGUCAGCCGCUACACCAUCAAGAACCUGCUGCCCUAUCGGAACGUUCACGU